rnacentral:rRNA from 1 species
UACGUAGGGGGCAAGCGUUGUCCGGAAUCAUUGGGCGUAAAGCGCGUGUAGGCGGCUUUGCAAGUCGGGUGUGAAAGCCCUCAGCUCAACUGAGGAAGUGCGCCCGAAACUGCAGAGCUUGAGUACCGGAGAGGAUGGCGGAAUUCCCCAAGUAGAGGUGAAAUUCGUAGAUAUGGGGAGGAACACCGGUGGCGAAGGCGGCCAUCUGGACGGUCACUGACGCUGAGACGCGAAAGCGUGGGUAGCAAACAGG